CUGUGUGUGUGUUUUGUGUUAUCAGUUGUAGUAAUCCUGAUGAAUGUUAAUCCUCAGAAAAAGAAUGAGACAUAUUUACUUCUGUUUCAAAUUGUAAAAUAAUUGAAAUUUUGAUUAAAAAUCAGUCUAUAUAUAAUUUUCGUUGUAUUAAAAAACAGUUUAGAAAGAUUUGUAAAGUUUUAUGAACCAUUAUUAAACUUGCUUCUUUCUAAGGUCUAUAAGACAGUUUUAUAAACAAUGUGUCUGUUUCCAAAAAUUCCCCAAAUAUUAAGAUACUAAUAUAGAGUAUUAGUGAA